rnacentral:lncRNA from 1 species
AGGACAAGAAGAAAAGAAAACUCAUACUGCAGGAACAUAAAUUAGUACAGCCAUUAUGGAAAACAGUAGGUUGAUUCUUUAGAAAACUAAAAAUAGAACCACCAUAUGAUCCAGCAACCCAACUACUAGGUAUAGAGCCAAAGGAGAGGGACUCAUUAUACCAAAAAAAAAUACCUGAACUCCCAUGUCUAUUGGAGGACAAUUGAUAAUAGCUAAAACAUGGAACCUACCUGGAUGCCCUCUAGUGGAUGAAUGGAUAAAGAAAAUUAUACACACACACACACACAUACACACAAUGAACCAUUAUUCAGCCAUAAAAAUCCUGUCAUUUUCAUUAACAUGGAUGGAACUAGAGAUGAUCAUGUUAAGUAAAAUAAGCCAGACACUGAAAGAGAAAUGCCACAAGUUCUCAGUCAUUUGUGGAAACUAAUGAAUCAGUCUCAAAAAGAACAAAAAGGGAUAGUGGUACCAGAGACUGGGAAGGAAAUGAGACAGGGGGAUGCAGAGAAAUUCAAGUAGGGGUAACAAAACCUAGAGAGGAAGAAUUAGUUCUGCUUCUUCUUUAGCAGAGUAAGUAACUGUAGGUUAAAACAAUCUGGUAUUUUCCAAGCACAGAAAAAAUUAAUGGUUGAAGAGAUCGUGUAGUACAACUGCUUCAAUCUGAGGCAGGUUCAGGCAGCCUAAGAAGGUACACGGAGCAGAAGGGCGAUCUGAC